AGUGAACGCUGGCGGUAGGCCUAACACAUGCAAGUCGAACGGCAGCACAGUAAGAGCUUGCUCUUACGGGUGGCGAGUGGCGGACGGGUGAGGAAUACAUCGGAAUCUACUUUUUCGUGGGGGAUAACGUAGGGAAACUUACGCUAAUACCGCAUACGACCUACGGGUGAAAGCAGGGGAUCUUCGGACCUUGCGCGAUUGAAUGAGCCGAUGUCGGAUUAGCUAGUUGGCGGGGUAAAGGCCCACCAAGGCGACGAUCCGUAGCUGGUCGGAGAGGAUGAUCAGCCACACUGGAACUGAGACACGGUCCAGACUCCUACGGGAGGCAGCAGUGGGGAAUAUUGGACAAUGGGCGCAAGCCUGAUCCAGCCAUACCGCGUGGGUGAAGAAGGCCUUCGGGUUGUAAAGCCCUUUUGUUGGGAAAGAAAAGCAGCAGGUUUAUACCCCGCUGUUCUGACGGUACCCAAAGAAUAAGCACCGGCUGACUUCGU
rnacentral:rRNA from 1 species